rnacentral:rRNA from 1 species
AGAGCACUGUUUGGACUAGGGGCCCUUCUCGGGUUACCGAAUUCAGAUAAACUCCGAAUGCCAUGUACUUAUACUCGGGAGUCAGACUGCGAGUGAUAAGAUCCGUAGUCGAAAGGGAAACAGCCCAGACCACCAGUUAAGGUCCCCAAAUAUAUGUUAAGUGGAAAAGGAUGUGGGGUUGCUUAGACAACCAGGAUGUUGGCUUAGAAGCAGCCACCAUUGAAAGAGUGCGUAAUAGCUCACUGGUCGAGUGACCCCGCGCCGAAAAUGUACCGGGGCUAAACAUAUUACCGAAACUGUGGAUGAACCUCUUUAGAGGUUCGUGGUAGGAGAGCGUUCUAAGGGCGGUGAAGUCAGACCGGAAGGACUGGUGGAGCGCUUAGAAGUGAGAAUGCCGGUAUGAGUAGCGAAAGAAGGGUGAGAAUCCCUUCCACCGAAUAUCUAAGGUUUCCUGAGGAAGGCUCGUCCGCUCAGGGUUAGUCGGGACCUAAGCCGAGGCCGAUAGGCGU